AGUACGAUCGCAAGAUUAAAACUCAAAGGAAUUGACGGGGCCCCGCACAAGCAGCGGAGCAUGCGGCUUAAUUCGACGCAACGCGAAGAACCUUACCAAGGCUUGACAUAUAGCGAAAAGUGGCAGAGAUGUCAUGUCCGCAAGGGCGCUAUACAGGUGGUGCAUGGUUGUCGUCAGCUCGUGUCGUGAGAUGUUGGGUUAAGUCCCGCAACGAGCGCAACCCUCGUUCUGUGUUACCAGCAUUUAGUUGGGGACUCACAGGAGACUGCCGGGGUCAACUCGGAGGAAGGUGGGGAUGACGUCAAAUCAUCAUGCCCCUUAUGUCUUGGGCUGCACGCAUGCUACAAUGGCCGGUACAAAGUGCUGCGAGAUCGUAAGAUUGAGCGAAUCACAUAAAGCCGGUCUCAGUUCGGAUUGAGGUCUGCAACUCGACCUCAUGAAGUCGGAGUUGCUAGUAAUCGUAGACCAGCAACGCUACGGUGAAUACGUUCCCGGGGCUUGUACACACCGCCCGUCACGUCACGAAAGUCGGUAACACCCAAAGUUAGUGGCCCAACCGCAAGGGGGGAGCUACCUAAGGUGGGAUCGGUGAUUGGGACG
rnacentral:rRNA from 1 species